rnacentral:rRNA from 1 species
GACGUAGGGGGCGAGCGUUGUCCGGAUUUAUUGGGCGUAAAGCGCGCGCAGGCGGCUCGGAAAGUCGGGUGUGAAAACCCGGGGCUCAACCCCGGACCUGCAUCCGAUACUCCCGGGCUAGAGGCAGGUAGGGGAGAGUGGAAUUCCUGGUGUAGCGGUGAAAUGCGCAGAUAUCAGGAGGAACACCAAUGGCGAAGGCAGCUCGCUGGGACGUGACUGACGCUGAGACGCGAAAGCGUGGGGAGCAAACAGG